rnacentral:lncRNA from 1 species
AAUAUACAAUAUCUUACAUUUGUCAUAUCAAAGACACACUACAUAUUACUUAAAAACAACUAUUAACAACAUCACACAGAUAAAAUCAAUACUAUCAUUUAAUAAUGAUGACUCUUACUUCAACGAAUCAACUACUAGAGGAUGGUUAAGAUCAUUUAAUCAAAUUAUUACAAGUUAUCCGCUUUGAGCUUGUUGUCGCAGUAUUUGUAACAAAAGUAU